rnacentral:rRNA from 1 species
GACGAACCGUGCGAACGUUGUUCGGAAUCACUGGGCUUAAAGGGCGCGUAGGCGGGGUCAUAAGUCUGUGGUGAAAUCCUCCGGCUCAACCGGAGAACUGCCUCGGAUACUGUGGCUCUCGAGGGUGGUAGGGGUAUGCGGAACUAUCGGUGGAGCGGUGAAAUGCGUUGAUAUCGAUAGGAACUCCGGUGGCGAAGGCGGCAUACUGGACCACUUCUGACGCUGAGGCGCGAAAGCCAGGGGAGCAAACGGG